rnacentral:rRNA from 1 species
UACGUAGGGGGCAAGCGUUGUCCGGAAUCAUUGGGCGUAAAGAGCGUGUAGGCGGCCCGAUAAGUCCGCUGUGAAAAGUCCAGGGCUCAACCCUGGAAUGCCAGUGGAAACUGUCGGGCUGGAGUCCGGAAGAGGCGAGUGGAAUUCUGGUGUAGCGGUGAAAUGCGCAGAUAUCAGGAGGAACACCAAUGGCGAAGGCAGCUCUGGG